AGAGAACACCGCUUCGCCGCUAACAGGGUUUCAUGGCUGGGCAGAAUGCUAACCAGACGGCCAAAGGGACAUUCACAUUAACAGAUCUCAGGACCAUCUCACUUUCUUUGAGACUCAUGACUCCUUCAACAGAAAUAGACUGUGCCUUCAGACCAGAAGCCUGGAAACUACAUUUCUUUGACUGGCUCAGUGGGAGGCAUUUGCACAAGAUCUGGAAGUUGUGAGAAGACAGAGCCAUUAUUGCUCCAGC